rnacentral:lncRNA from 1 species
CUGGGGUAGGGGCUCAUUGGGAGCCCACGGAGCGCGGCGGCGGCUCGGGGGCCGAGUUCCCUACAACAAGGAUGGCGGUGACGGGCGCAGGGAGCGGGGCCCGGCUCUCCUUGCCUCGAGGCUCCUCUGAUUCCACUCGCGUGGCUGCGCGGCCCUGGCAGCGGCCUUCGUCCCGGGGGUGGGAGCUACACAGGGUUCCGCCCCGUCCUGGCGAGGACGCCUGAGGGGGCUCUGUGGUAAGGCUCUGUCGGGCAGGCCGGGCUUCCGGGAGGACCUGGUCUGGAUCGGUCACCGCUGGGUGCCUGAGCUCCGCAUGGAGCCUGCAGCCUUUGUUUAACUUAUAAAGAAAUGGGGGCUCCGAGCAGUCAAGAAGAACAUGCCCCAAGUUAUUCGUCAGUGAGGCGGAAAUUGUGGUGUACUUGUGGCUGCAAUCAAGAUGUUGGCAUGGCUGGGGUCUCAUCUGAAGGCUGGACUGGAGAAGAAUCUACUUCCAAACUUAUGUGGUAGUUGGAAGAAUUUAGUUCCUCAAGGCCGCUAAACUGAUGGCCUGUGUUCCUUGCCUAUGGGAUGGUAGCUUGCUUCAACAAAGUGUGCAAGCAGAGAAGACAGAGAGUCCGCUAGCAAGAUAGAAGCCACAAUCUCUUGUAAUCUAUCAUUUUUGCUGUAUUCUACUGGUUAAAAAUAACUCAUUAGGUUAGCCUACUGGCUCUCAAGGGGAAGAGAUUAUACAAAGGCAUGAAUUUCUGGAGGAGGGAAUGAGGGCAAAGAAUUCUGAGAAGUCUGUCUUCCACAAUCUGAAGAACUUCUAGAAAGUAGGAGGAAGCGAUAUUGCUUAGGGAUGGACAACUUGGCACUGGUUAUGUAUUUCAAGUGAGGUAACCUUGUUCCCAAGAAUAAAGAGAACCAGACGACUGUAAACAUUUCCCUAAACUGAAAUGCAGACUGUUGUAUGUUCCCCUGAAAUGAAUGGUGUAAGCUGAAUAUAAGAUUUUUGACAAAAAUUUUGCUGUGUUCUCAGAUCUGGCAGGCCCCUGCCCUUGUGCAAACAAUGUUCCUGGCAGCUAUUCAUCUCCUUAGGUAAAUAAGAAUUGGAGAAAAGCUGUGCUAAGAUAGGAUGCAUUUGCUCUUGCCUUGGAAGGUUGUUUUCUGAUAAGGUUCUAUAUCCUCAGCAAAUCAAAUCAGGCACUUACAGUGUGAGUAUGCAUUCUCUGCCUGCCAGUCUGGAGAUGAUCAAAAAGCCUAUAACAGGCUUGGCCUAUUUUCCUAUUGGGUUGCUGGGCUUUUUUUUCGUCUUUAUUUACUUGUAGAGAGUUUUAGACCUCUGUGUAUGUAUGGUGUACAAGUGACAAUAUUCAGAUCUGUAAACUGUAACACAGUCUGGGAGCAAAGAAGAUAUAGAAAAAUGACUUUUACUUCCUGCUUGAGUAGUAAAAUUGAGAUUCAAAUUUUGCAUAUAGAAGUACUAUAUGGCUAACUUAUUUGGGGAGCAAAACUGACUUACCAUAAGUCUACCUGAAAUAGAAAUGAAACACUCAAUUUGUGAAAUAUGCUGAGUUUUAAUGUGUGUGGGGGCAAGGUGAAUUAACAUUUGUGAUGCAAGGAGAGGAGCAAUCUAUACUUACCAGUGUCUAUUUGACAUUGUUUGGGGACUACUGUUACACUCUAAGUCACUUUACCUUAUAACGCAGAGUUGUAACACGCUACUCUGAGCAGCUCAUGACAUCUGCUUGAAAUUUAAGUUGGGCCCCUAAUAUGUGUUAAUUAUAAGGACUUUGAUGUUGCUUUUCCGAGUUGGGUAACCUACUUUACCCCCUAAGCUAAUGUUUCCCAAAUACACCCAAACCCACAGAAAGGAAAACUAUUCCUCAUUAACUUACAGCCAACAUCAUAAACAUUUUAUAUCUAGAGCUGAUGAUACAGUCAGGUAUUUACCAACACUCAUGUAUAUAUGUAGAGUUUCAAGAAAUAAUUGCUUACCCUUACUAGAUGCAACAUAUUCUAAUGUUUGACAUAUUAUUUUUAUUUCUUAAUUUUUUUUUAAAGAUGGGGUUUUACUCUGUUGUCCAGGCUGAAAUGCAGUGGCAUGACCAGGAUUUCGACCAGAAGUUUGACUGCAGCCUCGAACUCCUUAUAACAAACAAUCCUGCUGCCUUAGCCUCCUGAGUAGCUAGGACUAUGGACACAUGCCACCAGAUCUGGGAUAUUUUAAAAUUUUUGCAGACAUAGGGUCUCGCCAUGUUGCCCAGGCUGAUUCUGAACUCCUGUUCUCAAGCAAUCCUCCUGCCUGGUCUUCCCAAACUGUUGGGCUUACAGGUGUGAGUCACUGAGCCCAGCUUGUAUUCUUUUGAUUUUAAAAAAAUAUUCUGAAUGUGAUCCACCAAAUUAAUUUCACCAUCCACUAAUAGGUAGCAACCUGAAUGAAAAAUACUGUUAUAAACUUUACACAAAACCAGAGAUUAUAAACAUUUGCCUCCAAGGAGAUGAGAGAGGCAAAAGGUACUUGUUUGCUCUGAUGGGCCCUGUUUCCUUCAGUGCCAGGAAGAGUGGCUCUCAGAUCUUUCUUCUGGCAUCCCUCAUGUAUGCAGUGUUGGUUAUUAUUUUCAAGGCCUUGGUAACAAAAUGCCCCUAGUGUGACCAGUCAGACUGACAGUCCAUAUCUGUAAUAUGGUGGUAAGUUUCCUUUGCAUGUCUUUCUUUCUUGCAUCUUAGACCUUUUACCUAGGAAAUUUUCUUUUUGCUUAAAGUACAUCAUUAAGAAUUUUCAAUGAAGGCAGAUUCUUAAAGUUUUUGUUUUCCAGAAGAGAUCUUGGAAAAUAUAAAAGGUUGGCAGUUAUUUCUUUUAGUACAUGAGAUAGUAUUACACCAAUGCUGUUGAGAAGUCUAUUGUGAGGCAAUGUGUCUUCUUUCUCUGGCUGCUUUUGAGAUUUCUCUCUGUCUUUUUUAGGGGCAGUUUUACUCUUAUGUGACUAGAAGUAGAUUUCUUCUUUUUUUUUUAAUACUGCUUGAGAUUUUAUUGGGUUUUUGAAUCUGUGGAUAUCCUUCAACAGUUCUGAAAGAUUUCCAGCCAUUCUCUUCAUAUAUUAUCUGUGCUGUAUUCUUUUCUCUCCUUUUAGAACUUCAAUUAGUAAAAACAUGUUUGAUGUCUUUUCCCACUAUUGUUUUUUGUUUCUCCCAUGCUGAAUUCUGUGUAAUUUCUUUUGAACUAUCUUGUAGUUUACAUUCUUUUUUUUUUUUUUUUGAGACAGGGUUUUGCUCUUGUUGCUCGGGCUGGAGUGCAAUGGCACCAUCUCAGCUCACUGCAACCUCUGCCUCCCGGGUUCAAGCGAUUCUCCUACCUCAGCCUCCCAAGUAGCUGGGAUUACAGGCAUGUGCCACCACGCCCGGCUAAUUUUUGUAUUCUGAGUAGAGACGGGGUUUCACCAUGUUGGCCAGGCUGGUCUAGAACUCCUGGGUGAUCUACCCUCCUCAGCCUCCCAAAGUGCUGGAUUACAGGUGUGAGCCACCGUGCCAGGCCUUACAUUCUCUCUCUUUAAGAGAGAAUGUAAGGUAUCUAAAUCUGCUGCUAAACCAUCAUUGUUUUUAAUUGUAAUAAGGUCUCUUUUAUGUACUCACAUUGAUAAGAGACAAGUAGUAAAUAAUCUUUAAAGGGCAAACUAAUUUAAAUGUGUUUUCCUGUCUGUUUACAGGACUUAGCAAAUGCACAUCUUAGAGUUCUGGGUUUCUAAUGUGUAUCUCCUCUAUGAAAUUCUUUAAAAAUAUCUGUUCUUGGUAUCCCUUAGGUUAGUCUCUUUUAGAACUUCUAAAUCAAUGGACCCUUAACUUAUAGGAGCCACCUGGACGUUAGCAACAUCUACAUUAAACAUGCUGAGCUUUUAAAAGAGGCCUGUUAGACAUGCUGAGUAUUUUGAGAUAAUAUCAUUGUUGUAUUGAAAGCUAUUGAAAACUUUAAUUUUAAAAUGCAAACGUUCUUAAAGUCCUGGUUGAUUUUAUAACUAUAAAAUUAGUUAUAAUUUUGAGAUUUCUGUCUUGUUUUUUUAUAGGGGCAGUUUUACUCUUAGGUAACUAGAUUUCUUCUUUUUUAUAAUCAUAAAAUUAGGUUUACUUUUGUUAGAAUAAAUUAAAGACAGUGAAUUUGUAAUUUGAAUAACUACUAAAAAUACACAUGAUGUAUUCUUAUUUGGGCCCUUGUGACGAAAAUACUAUUGUGGCUACAGAAACCUAUCCUAUAGUUUGAAGAACUGAGAUUACUGUCAGUAUUGAGAACAUUCCUCCUUCAUCAUUAGAAAGAUUAUAAAAAACCAGAUUCAAAGAAACUAUCAAUACUACUUAUGAAGUAUGUCUGUAAAAAAAAUUAAGCCUGAAUCUUAUCAGGCCUCUAGACCAGGGGUUCUCAAGGUAUGGGCUCCAGACCAGAAGUAUCAGCAACAAAUUGCUAAAAAUGCAGAGUCUUGGGUCAGAAAUUGGGGACCAGCAAUUGGAAUUUUACUAAGUAUACCAGAUGAUUCAGAUGCCUGCUCAAUUUUGAGGAUGACUCUUAUCAGUUUAGUUAUUAGGGUUUACAGGGGAUGGGGAACAUGUUAAAGAACACCAACUAGAUAAGGUCAAUCAGGCAAAAGUAAGAUGUCUGGACAUUCUGGGCCUCUUGAUGUCUUAGAAAGCACACAAUACCAUCUAUGAUGUGUUUUUGUCCACCAUCCCACCCAACUGCACCUGGAUCUUCCUAUUUAUAGGCAAUUAGAACAAGUUCAGUGUUACCCUG